UCCAAGCAACACCAAUGCCUGCGUCCUUUGUGACAAAGGGCCUGGAUGCAGUCGGGGGACAUAUCAAAUGAAGGUGCAUGCAAGUGACACUAAAGCUCCAGGACGUGAUGCAGAUGUCCGCAUAACUGGCUGGGACCAAGAGCGCAUCUGAGCCUCUGCAACUCUCUCAUCUCAGGACCACUCAGACCCCCUUGGAAGAGGAAAGGUGAGUCUUACAUCCUGUUAUAUUAAACCUAUUAACGUUACUCACACGACACUAUCAUUCUCUUCAGGUUCUGACAGGAAGGAAAUCUUUGUAAAAUGUGAUAUUUAUGGGUCAGCUACUUUCUUCCUUUUUUGAGACCCCGAGUAUUUUCCACUGCUUCAGCUACCUGAGCAUAGGCCAAGGAGCAGGCUGGGUGAACAUGGGGAGUGUUGGCUGUCCGGGCAGAGUCAGGUAUUGCGAUGGAUGAGCCUUGGCUCCUGUUCCUUGGAGUUAAACGCUCCUAUCUUGUUAUAUCUGUUCUCGUUCCACCUCCUGCUCUGUCAGUAAUUCCUGUGCUGUGCCUGUGAUAGGUGUGCAGGUCUGUGACCAUUUUCUGAAGUUGUUUUCUUGAUCUCCUUUCCCCAUUUAUUGCUAAUCAG
rnacentral:lncRNA from 1 species